rnacentral:tRNA from 1 species
GGUGGCUCAGUGGUAGAGUGCUUGCCUUGCAAGCAUGAGGCCUGGGUUCGAUUCCUCAGCACCA